AACCUAGCACACCUGCGGUGUGUACCUGCGGAAGGAUCAUCAUUGAAAAACAAUUUUCCCAAGCCUGAGGGGGGUGUGGGGGGGAAUGGUGGAAUGUGGGAAGGGAAGAUUUUUCCUUUUCAUAUUCUUUUCCUCCUUCUUCAUCUGGCUUGGCAAACAACUUUGAUACCCAAAAAGAGUUUCAUCUUCUUCAUCUUUUAGCUUCAGCUUGGUUAAUUAAUUAAUUAAUUAAUUAGGCUG
rnacentral:misc_RNA from 1 species